UAGGGAAUCUUCCGCAAUGGGCGAAAGCCUGACGGAGCAACGCCGCGUGAGUGAUGAAGGUCUUCGGAUCGUAAAACUCUGUUAUUAGGGAAGAAUAAAUGUGUAAGUAACUAUGCACGUCUUGACGGUACCUAAUCAGAAAGCCACGGCUAACUACGUGCCAGCAGCCGCGGUAAUACGUAGGUGGCAAGCGUUAUCCGGAAUUAUUGGGCGUAAAGCGCGCGUAGGCGGUUUUUUAAGUCUGAUGUGAAAGCCCACGGCUCAACCGUGGAGGGUCAUUGGAAACUGGAAAACUUGAGUGCAGAAGGGGAAAGUGGAAUUCCAUGUGUAGCGGUGAAAUGCGCAGAGAUAUGGGGGAACACCAGUGGCGAAGGCGACUUUCUGGUCUGUAACUGACGCUGAUGUGCGAAAGCGUGGGGAUCAAACAGG
rnacentral:rRNA from 1 species